GAUGAACGCUGGCGGCGUGCCUAAUACAUGCAAGUCGAGCGAACGGACGAGAAGCUUGCUUCUCUGAUGUUAGCGGCGGACGGGUGAGUAACACGUGGAUAGCCUACCUAUAAGACUGGGAUAACUUCGGGAAACCGGAGCUAAUACCGGAUAAUAUUUUGAACCGCAUGGUUCAAAAGUGAAAGACGGUCUUGCUGUCACUUAUAGAUGGAUCCGCGCUGCAUUAGCUAGUUGGUAAGGUAACGGCUUACCAAGGCAACGAUGCAUAGCCGACCUGAGAGGGUGUUCGGCCCACCGGGACCUGAACACGGGCCCAGAUCCCACGGGAGGCCGGCGGAGGGAAACCUUCCGCAUGGGCCGAAGCCCUACGGGGGCAAGCCCGGUUGGUGAAUAAGGGCUUUGGAUCCGAAAACUCUGUUAUUAGGGAAGAACAUAUGUGUAAGUAACUGUGCACAUCUUGACGGUACCUAAUCAGAAAGCCACGGCUAACUACGUG
rnacentral:rRNA from 1 species